rnacentral:misc_RNA from 1 species
UUAAGUUCAGCGGGUAGUCCUACCUGAUUUGAGGUCAAGUUUAUCAUAUUGUCUUAUAAAGACAGUUAGACGGCAGAGGAUCAUGAAGCAUCUCUUGGCAUAGAUAGUUUAUCACACCAAUAAGAGUGCAAAGCUCCUCAACUAAUGCUUUUCAGAAGAGCCCACUACUUUACCAGCAGCCGGCAACUCCCAAUGUCCAA